rnacentral:rRNA from 1 species
GUCCUUAGUUACCAGCACGUUAUGGUGGCACUCUAAGGAGACUGCCGGUGACAAACCGGAGGAAGGUGGGGAUGACGUCAAGUCAUCAUGGCCCUUACGGCCUGGGCUACACACGUGCUACAAUGGUCGGUACAAAGGGUUGCCAAGCCGCGAGGUGGAGCUAAUCCCAUAAAACCGAUCGUAGUCCGGAUCGCAGUCUGCAACUCGACUGCGUGAAGUCGGAAUCGCUAGUAAUCGUGAAUCAGAAUGUCACGGUGAAUACGUUCCCGGGCCUU